AUCUACAAGAAGCCGAGUUGUCAGGUUU
rnacentral:sRNA from 1 species